rnacentral:lncRNA from 1 species
CUGAGCAGAUGGUCAGGCAGUGAGGUGGCCUUUGCACCAAAGAGAUGAUCCAGGAGCAAGAAACAGAGGUGCAGCAUCUCCUUCCAGGACUGUGCUGCUUAAACCAGCAAGGAAAGCAACAGCAGCUGAAGAGCCAAAUGAAGACCACGAAUACACACCUACUCUCAACAAGAGCUUCACAGAAGUUUUCAGGACCAUGUGUAAGUACCUCCCCUCUUUUAUUAUUUUUAAAUGUUUGGAAAUGUAUAUUAUCCAAAGAUUUGCACCAAAGCUUAACUAUGUUCACAAUUAAGGCAUUUGCCAGUGAUACAAUGACAGAAGUGGGGAGGAAGAGUUCCUGACCCCACUUUCAAUUUGCCCUAUUAUUUAUUUUAUGGCUCACAAUGUACAUCAAUAUACACACUGUUUAUUGAAUUACUUGUAGUAAUGGAACUAUAGUUUCAUUCUUCAGUUGCUAUAGUUACAUUUCUAUCCAACUUUGCAUUCAAAAUCUAGAAAGAAAUCCUAGGAAGGGUACUUUAUUUUUUUUUCAAAGAAGUCUGACUAGUCUUAAUCAAAACUUUAAAAGAACAUUUCGCUUAAGCUGAUAUGGGCAAGCAACUUUUAUAAAAAUAUACUGUAUAGAAACACAGGUGGAAAAUUGCAUAGAAAAUAUCCUUUGAUUUAAAUUAAGGCACGAUUUUACUAGCUAUGGUUUGGCUAUAAAAAUGUGACUCUAUUUUGAUUACUUUUAUGUUAUUAACAGUAUUUUCCAUAAAAAUAUAGGUGCAGGAAUAAAAAACCCUUUUACACAGAGUGGGAAACACUCCAUUGUAAAAUUUCACCAAAUUUACUGAAAUUCAGCUGUCAAAAAUUCAAAUGCUAUU